UCGUUGGUGUGAUGUCGAUUGUAAAAAUUAGAUUGUUUUCUAUCUGCCGAGUUUAUUUAUUAUGGUAAUACAUACUAAGUCAGAGCAGAAUCUAUUUUUGUCGACGUUGUACAAUAAAUUGAUUAUUGAUAAAUAUCUUUCAUUGGAACGGUGAACACAUUGACUGAUCUAUGGAAAUACUGAGAAUUUUCUUCAAGUUCCACGCAGAGUUUUGUAAUAUCAAAGAGAUGAUGAAGGUUUCUUGAAACGUACAGUACGAAGAUAUAAAGGAGAAAAAAAUAAUAGAAAAAACUAGGCACUAAUGAGGAUAAUUCUGAACUAACUCCCAAAGUAAGGCUAUAAUGGUUCCACAAACAUCUUAUCGAAAAAGGAUUCCUAAGGGAGCUCUUUAAAUAUGGCGAUAUAAUAUUUAUUUGCAAGUGAGGAAAACCCACUUUAAAAGAUAUAAGCCUUCCCAUCUCUAAAGCUUUUAUUCCCUAAUCAAAUGUGAUGGGUCUGCCAUCUGCGGACAGAAAAAUGUAUCUGCUGGAUUCUGUGCAGAGUGAAGCGUCCUGACGUCCGUGAUGUUUCAAGACGUCGACGAUAGAUGUCUACAGAACUUACAAAAGAAAAUUUAUUUAAUUUAGAUAGAAUUUUCAAAGAUUCAAAGUAUGUAUUAUUUGCGAGAAAGUUUCAAAUGUAUUUUAAAGAUGUUUUUUUUUAUAUUUUUGGUGGGAAUAAGCAACAAUUUUACUUUAAAAUUAAGU
rnacentral:lncRNA from 1 species